ACAGUAAAUCUCCAACCAAAUCAGGUACAGUGUUACCUAUACCCCGACAAAGGUAAGUUUAAACAAGCAUUCCAAGGCCGAGUAGGGAUAUUUGAGGCUGAAGGCCCAGGUGUAAUAUCAACACAGCGUGGAUCCCAGCCUUCAGCGUCACACUGAUAUUUGACAGUGACCAGUCGACCCACAAGUUGCCCCACCUUCGCAGGACGAUUCAGUCAUUUGUGCCAACAUGACUUCAACAAACUAUAGCACGGGUGCAUCUCCACACACAAUGGAUGAAGGGUAGGCAAGAUUUGAAUAAGACACACUUGACUGACUCUGGACUAGCCUGGCAAUGUGACAGAUCCAACUUGAGUCCCUGUGCUGUUAUAAUGACAGGUUGCUUGUAGGGGUUAUGAAGUCUUAUCAUGAAUUUUAGUUCUCCUUUAACAGAUAAAAGGGAGGACUUAAUAUCCCUGGCCAGACAAUGGGACGAACCAGUGAAGACAUGCUUCAUAAGUCAUGAUCUCAGUAAUAAUGUGACACACUUCAGUGCACUCCAAUAUCCAUGGGAUUUCAAUCCCGAGAUGCGUUACUGCUACGUCUCAACUUGAGGGCAAUUGUCAUGGAACUUGGAGACAUCAAGCUCAAAAGGUUUUGUCUGCGUCUGAGUGUGGUGUCCAAGUUGCAGAGCAUUAAGGGCCGGUGAUUGGUUCCGUGUGAGAAUCCUGCAUAUGCAGCCAAUGACCCAAAGGCAACCAGACCUGCCCAAUGGUGCCCUCAUUGCAUGACCUAAUUGCACGGAUAUGUUCCAGUCGUGUUGACUGACCACAAACGCAGCAUCAUUCCACUGGAUUAACGGGCAGAAGUGAUUCCUUGUGAAUAAUUAUUCAAGUUUCAUGGACCCCGCUUUAAAACUGAAGCCAAGAUGUGAACAGGCAUAUUUACAGCUGGUGUACAUUAAUUCAGCAGGAAGUGAGAAUACAAUCUCGGCUAUCACUGACAGUUGAGACCCUGUCAGAACACCAAGCAAUCUAUGGCCAGCAAAUAUAAAGAGUCUAUAGAACCAGAGCAGCAGCAAUGACAGUGACCUGCUCCCUCCAGCCCCCCUCAGGCUCUGACCCUACCUGGGAAGAUAACAAUGCACUGGUUACAUGCCGAGGAUCACUCCAACCAGGGGAAUACCACAUGGUAAAAUCAGACGGGCUCUGUCCAUGUUUGUAAACAUUCCCUCAUAAUGUUUCCUGGACCCAUUAUUGGCCAGUUUUGAGGGAAAAUGGCUAAAAAGUGAGUAGGAAUGUAUCUGACUUACCUAAAGUGUGAAAUAACACCUCAAUCCUGAGUUAAAACAAUUACAAACACUUCUAACUUCUUUAUCACAGCUCUCUGUUAGCAAGGUCAAGGGCAUUAACUAGGGGAGGUAACUCUUUGUACCCUACUCCCCCACAUGUCAAUAAUGCUCCCCAGUCUCUAUGGUGAAGAUGAUGUAAAAGCUCAAAAGGGGGGUAGCAAUAAAACUGUCACCUGGGCAAGGGAGCUCAUUAAACUGAAUUUCAGUCUUAUUUACAGAGUAAUUAAAAAGAAAUUAAUCUUCUCUUCAAUGAAAGUUAUGGAGCCUGUUGGACUAGGUGAUGUAGAUUUAAAUUACCAAUUCAGUAUCAGAAAUAAAUAUUAUGGGAAAACUAUAUUUCCAGCUUAAUAUUCUAAUUAUAUUUAUUUUUUCUUAGGUACAAAUUUUCAAAUCAACCAAACCCUUAUUAUAUCCUUGAUAAUGUAAAUACUUUCAAAGAAAAAGAAAAUUUAUUUUUAGAGUGACUUUUGACUUUUGACCCCAAACAACAUUCAAAAGCUACAUAGAUAAUGCAACUUGAUCACAGUAACUUUUGUCUGAGGGCAUGUCUACAUAAUCUCAAAUCAUCAGUGACACUUAAAUUACAAUGGAUUUGUACACUUUGUCAUUUCAGUGGCCCUUUGUGAUUGGUAUUGAUCUCUCUGUGUUAAUUACACAAUAUUACUUAGUUACAAUGAUGGUCAAACUGAAAAGGUCAACAAAAUAAACAUUCAAAUGUCUCCAAGCUAUCAUAGUUACUGCACUUUGAUUACAGUAACUUUUGUCUGUAAUAUUCUCAAAUCAUCAGUGUCCGACAAAUAUUUAAAUUACAAUAGUCCAUUGAUUGAAAUUGAUCUUUAUGUCUGUAACAUUCUCAAAUCAGCAGUGUCUGACACAUAUUUAAAUUGCAAUAGUCCAUUGAGAUCAAAAUUGAUCUUUAUGUGUUA
rnacentral:lncRNA from 1 species